rnacentral:rRNA from 1 species
GACGAACCGUGCGAACGUUGUUCGGAUUCACUGGGCUUAAAGGGCGCGUAGGCGGCUUGGCAAGUGGAAGGUGAAAUCCCUCGGCUUAACCGAGGAACUGCCCUCCAAACUGCUUCGCUUGAGACCGGGAGAGGUGAGUGGAAUUCCCAGUGUAGCGGUGAAAUGCGUAGAUAUUGGGAGGAACACCAGUGGCGAAGGCGGCUCACUGGACCGGUACUGACGCUGAUGCGCGAAAGCGUGGGGAGCAAACGGG